rnacentral:rRNA from 1 species
AUUGAACGCUGGCGGCAUGCUUUACACAUGCAAGUCGAACGGCAGCACGAAGAAGCUUGCUUCUUUGGUGGCGAGUGGCGAACGGGUGAGUAACACAUCGGAAUGUACCGUUUAGUGGGGGACAACUUCAAGAAAUUGAAGCUAAUACCGCAUAAUCCCUAAGGGGGAAAGCGGGGGACCGUAAGGCCUCGCGCAAUUAGAGCGGCCGAUACCUGAUUAGCUAGUUGGUGAGGUAAAGGCUCACCAAGGCAACGAUCAGUAGCUGGUCUGAGAGGACGAUCAGCCACACUGGGACUGAGACACGGCCCAGACUCCUACGGGAGGCAGCAGUGGGGAAUUUUGGACAAUGGGGGCAACCCUGAUCCAGCAAUGCCGCGUGAGUGAAGAAGGCCUUCGGGUUGUWAAGCUCUUUUGUCAGGGAAGAAACAGCAGCUCUAACACAGUGUGCGAAUGACGGUACCUGAAG